rnacentral:tRNA from 1 species
GAGGGUAGAGCUCAAGUGGUAGAGCGCAUGCUUAGCGUGCACGAGUCCUGGGUUCAAUCCCCAGUACCUCCU